UCUCUCUGAAUCUGCGAACGGCUCCGCACACCAGUUGUAAACUAUAGCAAGCAUGCUUCGGGCUCUCUUCACGGGGGGUUCGGGGUAAUACGGGUAACCCUGGUAAUUCUGAGGCUAAUACGAGACUGCAACUCCUGGUCAGCCGGCAACGGUAGGCUGGGGGACGUGCAAGCUUGUAUUCGGAUUUUAUCGGGAAUGAGUGCACGUCUUGACCGCGCUAAAGACAGAUGAGGUUGGCUCCGGCCGGCCUUGCCUGAGCGGCUCUUGCUGUGUGCUUCUGACCUAUCAACUAGACGGCAGCGUAAGGGACAUGCUAUGGUUACAACGGGUACAGAGGAUUAGGGUUCGAUCCUGGAGAGUGGGCCUGAGAGAUU
rnacentral:rRNA from 1 species